CAUGCAAGUCGAACGGUAACAGGUCUUCGGAUGCUGACGAGUGGCGCACGGGUGAGUAACGCGUGGAUAUCUGCCUAUUAGUGGGGGACAACUUGUGGAAACGCAAGCUAAUACCGCAUAAUCCCUACGGGGGAAAGCAGGGGACCUUCGGGCCUUGUGCUGAUAGAUGAGUCCGCGUCUGAUUAGCUAGUUGGUAGGGUAAAGGCCUACCAAGGCGAUGAUCAGUAUCUGGUUUGAGAGGAUGAUCAGACACACUGGAACUGAGACACGGUCCAGACUUCUACGGAAGGCAGCAGUGGGGAAUAUUGCACAAUGGGCGCAAGCCUGAUGCAGCGACGCCGCGUGUGGGAAGAAGGCUUUAGGGUUGUAAACCACUUUCAAUUGGGAAGAAGAGAUGAGUGUUAAUAACAUUCUGAUUUGACGGUACCUUUAGAAGAAGCACCGGCUAAUUUCGUGCCAGCAGCCGCGGUAAUACGAAAGGUGCAAGCGUUGUUCGGAUUUACUGGGCGUAAAGAGAGUGUAGGUUGUUUAUUAAGUCGGAUGUGAAAUCCCGGGGCUCAACCUCGGAACUGCAUUCGAUACUGGUAGACUAGAGUUCGGGAGGGGUAAGCGGAAUUCCGUGUGUAGCAGUGAAAUGCGUAGAUAUACGGAGGAACACCUGAGGCGAAGGCGGCUUACUGGACCGAUACUGACACUGAGACUCGAAAGCGUGGGUAGCAAACAGGAUUAGAUACCCUGGUAGUCCACGCCCUAAACGAUGUCAACUAGCCGUUGCGGGUAUCGACCCCUGCAGUGGCGAAGCUAACGCGAUAAGUUGACCGCCUGGGG
rnacentral:rRNA from 1 species